rnacentral:rRNA from 1 species
GCAGUAGCCACGGUAAUACGAAGGGGGCUAGCGUUGUUCGGAAUUACUGGGCGUAAAGCGCACGUAGGCGGACAUUUAAGUCAGGGGUGAAAUCCCGGGGCUCAACCCCGGAACUGCCUUUGAUACUGGGUGUCUAGAGUAUGGAAGAGGUGAGUGGAAUUCCGAGUGUAGAGGUGAAAUUCGUAGAUAUUCGGAGGAACACCAGUGGCGAAGGCGGCUCACUGGUCCAUUACUGACGCUGAGGUGCGAAAGCGUGGGGAGCAAACAGGAUUAGAUACCCGCGUAGUCCCUGUCUCUUAUAC